rnacentral:rRNA from 1 species
CCCUUAGAUGUUCUGGGCCGCACGCGCGCUACACUGAUGCAUUCAACGAGCCUAUCCUUGACCGACAGGUCCGGGUAAUCUUUGAAUCUGCAUCGUGACGGGGAUAGAUUAUUGCAAUUAUUAAUCUUCAACGAGGAAUGCAUAGUAGGCGCAAGUCAUCAGCUUGCGUCGAUUGCGUCCCUGCCCUUUGUACACACCGCCCGUCGCUCCUACCGAUUGGGUGUGCUGGUGAAAUGUUCGGAUCGGCCGUUUGUCGCGGUUUCCGCGGCUCGUGGCUGAGAAGUUCAUUAAACCCUCCCACCUAGAGGAAGGAGAAGUCGUAACA